UUUAUUAAGAGUUUGAUCCUAGCUCAGGAUGAACGCUGGCGGUGUGGAUAAGGCAUGCAAGUCGUGCGCUCUGCACCUUCUAGUUUUUGUGUGAUAAUAUUUAACUAUGUAUUACGUUUAUAUUUUAAAAAGUGAGAAAAAUAGAAGAUUGUACAUAGGUUAUACUGCCGAUUUAAAAAGGAGAUUGCAUCAACACAAUAGUGAUGGUCCCUCAACUCGCUUUACAAGCGGGGGCAGACCAUGGCAUUUAGUUUAUUAUGAGGCGUUUCUAAAUAAAGAUGACGCCACAAAAAGAGAACUGGCCUUAAAAAAUCAUGGCAAUGUUUUCGGUUUAUUAAAAAAACGUAUCAUACGAAGUUUAGAAGGUGCAGAGAGCGGCGAAAUGGUUAGUAACACCCUGGCACUUACCUCAAAGACAGGAAUAACUCCGCGAAAGCGGAGCUAAUACCUGAUAGUCCCGGCAUAUAUUUUUGCAAAUAAAAUUUGUUUUCAAAAAUAUGUGCCGUGUAAAGGCGCAAGCCACUUUGAGAAAGGCCUAGGUCCUAUCAGCUUGUUGGUGAGGUAAUGGCUCACCAAGGCUAUGACGGGUAGGAGGCGUGAGAGCGCGACCUCCAACAAGGGCACUGCGACAUGGGCCCUACUCCUACGGGAGGCAGCAGUCGAUAAUCUUCGACAAUGGGCGAAAGCCUGAUCGAGCGACACCGCGUGCAGGAAGAAGGCCUUCGGGUUGUAAACUGCUUUUUUGAGGGAAAAAGCCCAGCCCCACUUUUACUAUGGGUGUUUUGUAAAUAAAUUAAUUUUGAGUUUUUAAAUCUCGAGUUAAAAAAAUAAAGCACAUUUGGUAAAAGUGGAGCUGGGCUGAUUGUACCUUACGAAUAAGGGGUUCCUAACUCUGUGCCAGCAGGAGCGGUAAUACAGAGACCCCAAGCGUUAUCCGGAGUCAUUGGGCGUAAAGCGUUUGUAGGCGGUUUAAUCAUACGAGAGCCGCGCAAGUGGAAGGAGUAUGAGUUUGUAAUUUUUUUCGAAAAGUUGUGAAUCAAGUCAAAUGUUAAAGAUCCGAGCUCAACUCGGAGAAGGCAUUUGAUACUGGUAAACUUUGAAGAUGCAAGAGGCUUCUAGAACCUAUGGUGUAGGGGUGAAAUCCGUUGAUAUCAUAGGGAAUACCAAAGGCGAAGGCAGGAAGCUGGUGCAUUCUUGACGCUGAGAAACGAAAGCGUGGGGAGCAAAAAGGAUUAGAUACCCUUGUAGUCCACGCCCUAAACUAUGAACACUCACUGUCGAGAGUAUCGACCCUCUCGGUGGUUUAGCUAACGCGUUAAGUGUUCCGCCUGGGAAGUACGGCCGCAAGGCUAAAACUCAAAGGAAUAGACGGGAGCUCGCACAAGCGGUGGAGCAUGUGGUUUAAUUCGACAGCAAGCGAGGAACCUUACCAGGGCUUGAAAUGUUGCUGCAUCCCGACCGAAAAGUCGGGAGCCUUCGAGGGUGCAACACAGGUGCUGCAUGGUUGUCGUCAGUUCGUGCCGUGAGGUGUUCCGUUAAGUCGGAAAACGAACGCAACCCCCAUUCUGCGUUAUAUGUGUCGCAGGAAACUGCCCUGCACCUUGUUUUAGAGCGCAAGCAAAAAAAUUAAUUUGCUGUCUAUUUUUUAAAAUUAAAUUAAAAUAGAUUAGUUCGAAACCAAGGUGCAGGGAGGAAGGAGGGGAUGACGUCAAAUCAGCACGGUCCUUUGAUGCCCUGGGCUACACACGUGCUACAAUGGGAAGGAACAAUGGGUUGCCAAGUCGUAAGACGGAGCCAAUCCCAGCAAAACUUCCCCCAGUUCAGAUUGAGGGCUGAAACUCGCCCUCAUGAAGUCGGAAUCGCUAGUAAUCGCGGAUCAGCCUCGCCGCGGUGAAUACGUUCUCGAGCUUUGUACUCACCGCCCGUCACGUCAAGGGAGCCGGUAGUAUCCGAAGACUUUUGAUUUAUUUAAGGGUUUAAGGUAAGAUCGGUGACAGGGACGAAGUCGUAACAAGGCAUGCGUAGCGGAAGCUGUGCAUGGAUCAUCUCCUUU
rfam:Parcubacteria bacterium GW2011_GWA2_39_18 TT37_C0003, whole genome shotgun sequence.